UUAGUAGAAAAUAUCAAGAUAGAUGGAUAUAAUAUAUGAUAUAUAAUAAGCAGGCCUGAGCCUGGUCAGUACCUGGAUGGGAGACCUCCUGAGAAAACUAGGUUGCUGCUGGA
rnacentral:rRNA from 1 species